AUUGGCAUCGCUCAUCUCUUUCUUUGCAAGCGACUCCAUUCCUCAUCUCUCUGUAUUUCCCGUGGGUGCUUUUCGUACGACAAAACUAAGCAAAGCCCCUCCUUUGGUAUUUCUACCUUGAAAUCAAUCAAUCGUCUAAAAACUCAAAAGAGAAAGGAAAAUAAUUAGAUCCAGAAAAUUUCUCUGCCGUCAGUCUCUCUUCCUCCUCUCUAUUCUUCACUUCAUUCCACUUUUUAGGGUUUUAUUCUAUUUCAAUCGUUAUGCACCGGGGAAGAUCUAUCCUUUCGUUGUUGUAAUAGGUGAAUUGUUGUGUUUGAUAUAACUAGUUGAGGAAGAGAUGGGUAGGGGUAGAGAUAAGGAUAUUUCAAGGUCUAGAUCGAGGUCGCCAGCACAUAGGAGGAGAUAUUCACGGUCACCCUCGCCUGUGGCACGCAGACAUAGCCGCAGAAGCCGGAGAGAUAGAAGCAGAUCACCUUAUUCCUAUAGCAGGUGAUACCCAUUUGCUUAAUUGAUAUAUGGAUUUGACUUAUAUGGAUUUUGCCCUUGUGUUAUAUCUCUGAUCUUUGUGUUUUUUUGUACUUGGAUUUGUUUUUUAUUAUUCUAAUAAAGCUCACGUUUUGCUGAUUCAAUUACAGUUUGUUCAGGUAUUGUCUACGUGUUUGAUUCUUGAAAAAGUAUUGGUAUUUAUCUACCGUUUGUUGGAUCGACUUGCGCGGUUGCUCAAAAAUGAAUUUAGGACUUCAUAGUGACAGCAUUGGUCUAAGCUGUGGCAGGAUUGAUGAUUGAUCAUUUUUGCUUGUAUCUUAAAGACUUUAAGAGGAACUUCUAGUGAUUGGUGUAUUCGCAUACCGCAAAGUUGUCCAUCUACUAUUUGGUCAUGGAUCAAAUUCCAAAUGUUAAUCAUUGUUUCGAUAAAAUGCCUUUAUUCUUCAUUUCAUAUAUUCGAUUCCCUUCAUUGGAUAUCUAGCUCUGUUCCCAAGCAGGGAGAUAGGGGGGUGCGGACUUGUUUCGUACUUCUGUUGCCAAUAUCAGCUUCAUUUUUGUUCAGAUUGAUAUUUUCUCAUCAAAGUCCACUAGCCUUCUAUUAUAUGAGUUACCAGAUGUGUACGAAAACGUUAUGUCCUUGUCAAAUUGAACUGUUACUGCUACUAAAAGUUUUCAAUACCUGUAAUCACAAUAGUUGAUAUCCUUGUGGUUGUCUUUGUAUUAUCUCAUAUCCUAAUCUGGUGAUGUCGCUGUUCAGUUGCAAAUUUAGUCCUCGGUCAGGCGGCCAUUUGGAAAUUGUCUACUAUUCUGAAGAUGUGCAUGAUCCUAAUGAGUAGAGUUAAUAAAUAGAAACCUAAAUGAAAUAUCCGGUGCAAACUAUGCUCUUCAAUGAGGAAUUAAAAGAAGUAAUUGCUUCCCUUCAUGGGAGGCAAGCAGGUCAUGGGUGCCGAUGAGUGUCCAUUGGUUGCUCAAUUGUGAUAUUAGCAGUUCCCUAUGAUAAAAGACGGAGCUCGAGUUUAUUCUUUGCAAUUCAUGAGGUAACUGUACAUGCUUUAGUAUCUAACUGAUUUGGAAGAUGGGUUAGUAUAUCUGUGGGUUUCUAUGUGUUCUGCUGCCUAUAUAUAUUGUUGCUUAAAUGUUAAUCAUUGUUAUACAGGAGACGAAGCCGUUCACUGUCCCCAAGGCGCCGCAAAAGUCGUUCUCCAGCCACCAGACGACAUAAAAGUCGCUCUCCAAGGAACUAUAGGAGACAAAGAAGUAGGAGUAUAUCAUUGUCUCCUAUUGGUAAAUCACCUGCUUCAAGUAUUGGAUCGAAAGAGCAAAAGGAUGUCAGUGAAAAAAUUAGAAUUGAGGAAGAGGAGAAGAAAAGGUAUAACUGUAUACGUAAUCUUUUCAUUUUCUGCCCUUUCUAUCUCUUUCUUAUCUAGGAGCAAGCUAUGCUUUUACUUUGAGAAUCUACCCCUAGUUUUAAAGUUCUUUGAUACACUUUCAACUUUGAAUCAUACACCUCUAGUUUCUGUACUGUUUUCCUGAAACUAAUCAUGAAUAAAUGGACAAUUUGUUUUGAAAUGCUGACCGGAAGGACACUGAUCCUUUAGUUUUCGACAAUGAUCCUUAAAUGCUUACAGUGUGGACAUUGGAUGUUUUUUCUGAUUAGACCUGAUGGAUUGACCUUUAGACGUCUACGACUCAGAAUGUCAUUCAGGUCCAUAAUUGAAAGAUUUUGUUAAGGGCCUGCUAAUAAGGUAGAAGUAGGAUUGGGUUGUGGAAUGUAUUAACUCCUGCUGUUUAAGAUGAGAGGAUUUUUGUUGUUAUUGAAAGCUCAGCUCUAAAAUAAAUUGUCUUGGAGUCUUGAGUAGUAGAUAUUUGUGGAAUGUGGUCUAAUAUGAAUUCUUGUUGUGUUAAUUGUGUAUCUACUGUUUAAUGUAGCAAGAUAGUUUAAAGCUUUUAUGCUUUACAUUUAUUAACUUCCCUAUCCAUCUAAUUCACCAUAAAGACAGUAACAUUCCUCCUGGAGUGGAGAGUUUUCAUGAAUCAAUAUCCCCAGAAGGUGAAGAUAUAAAAAUAAGUACUGCUUGUGGGAGCUCUUUAGCUAUGCUUGCUGAUCUGGGUUUCAUUACACUCUUCUUCUUGCCUUUUUAUAUCUCAUAAUAGGGGGAUGGCUCUAGUAUUGAUGAAGUUGAAUCUUUCUAUGUUGCAAGUGGAUUGCAAAUUGCUAUAGUACAUGUUAUAAGGCAACAUAAAUGCAAAGAAUGCAGCUGGAUCACCAUGAAGCAAAACCAACAUACAGCAAAGAGUGCUGCAUGUAAUAAGUUCUGCUUUUAAUUGGUUCCGCUGUUGCUAACUAUUUAUGACUGAUAAAGAAAGAGAGAAGGCAACCUUGACAUCCUUAUAAAAAAAAAAAGGCAACCUUGACAUCUUGAUCUUUGUUCUGUUAUUCUGCCUUGCUGCUGGUCUUCGCUGUCCUUUAUUACAUCCACAGCUGUGAUUACUGCAAGGCUAAAUGUGAUGCUACGUGUAUUUUGCUAAAACAUGAUAUUUUCAUACCUAGCCUUACAAAGUUAAUAGACAGGCAUAAUCAUGAAUGUACACGGUAAUAAGAAACAUUUGACAAGAUUUGCUUCGGUCAUUCUUAGUCUAAAUGGAUGAUAGUACAUAGCUAUUUGCUUCAAACCUCUUGUGGAUUUCUCAGGCUUCUUUCUCUAUCUGUUUCUGACUAUUUAAGCUGACAUGUCGACAAUUUGGGUCAUCUACUUGAGAAGUGGAAACUUUUCCUUUCACAAUUCUACUUUUGCCGUAAGGCUUCAUGAAUUUGGUGAUUAGCUUUGUAACUGUCACAGGUUAUUUGACAUUCUUCUCCACAGGCUUAUUUGAAGGAAGUUACUGCUAUAGUUCAACUUAUUAAUUUUGAUGAUCAAUUGGGUGCCUCGUUUAUCUACUGUUCACCAGUUUUGAUUCUCAUUUGUUUGGACAGAAUUCAGGUAGAGGCGUCAAGAGGAAGCAGAAUUGAAAUUAAUAGAAGAAGAAACUGCAAAAAGAGUUGAAGAAGCAAUUAAGAGAAAAGUUGAUGAUAGCUUGAACACGGAGGAGAUCAAGCUUGAAAUCCGUAGGCGAUUA